AUAUUUAUCUUGCUGGGAGAAUGCUCUGUUAAAAUGUUGGUUUUCCCAGCAUGAGCUUUUUCCAUUGCAUAAAUACUUUGGUUGAUGACAGUAAUAUUUCCAAAUAUGGUAAACUCAACUACAUAAUUUAUUGUAGUGGGUGACUGUGUUCACAAAGUCUUGUU